rnacentral:rRNA from 1 species
CCUACGGGAGGCAGCAGUGAGGAAUAUUUGUCAAUGGACGAGAGUCUGAACCAGCCAAGUAUCGUGAAGGAUGACUGCCCUAUGGGUUGUCAACUUCUUUUAUAUGGGAAUAAAAUGUUCCACGUGUGGGAUUUUGUAUGUACCAUAUGAAUAAGUAUCGGCUAACUCCGUGCCAGCAGCCGCGGUAAUACGGAGGCUCCGAGCGUUAUCCGGAUUUAUUGGGUUUAAAGGGAGCGUAGGUGGAUUGUUAAGUCAGUUGUGAAAGGUUGCGGCUCAACCGUAAAAUUGCAGUUGAAACUGGCAGUCUUGAGUACAGUAGAGGUGGGCGGAAUUCGUGGUGUAGCGGUGAAAUGCUGAGAUAUCACGAAGAACUCCGAUUGCGAAGGCAGUUCACUGGACUGCAACUGACACUGAGGCUCGAAAGUGUGGGUAUCAAACAGGAUUAGAGACCCUAGUAGUC